GCCAGUUCGUGAUUCCCAUGAAUUGGCAUUAUUCUUUAUGCAGCUCUCCAUGUAUAUCUACUAUAAUCUCCAAUGGGCAUAUAUUUCUCCACACAGCUUCUGUGCAUGAAUGUUAACUAAUGCUUACCCAAUGUGUGCACAUAGUAGUACUCACACUCAGUCUUCAGGAUUGUGGAUUAGAAGCUGUUUACUAGUGUCCAGCCCUCCUAAUUCCACUAGAAUUUCCAUCUACAAGGGUAUAAUCCCCCUCCAUACGGAUACAUUAAUCAGGAUCCAGUUGUGGAUGCACAUAUUUGAAUAUAUAACAGGGUUAACCCCCCCCCUACGCUGGGUGACCCCCAAGCGAGUCUGGCACCUGUCCUAAGUGACAUACUUAUACAGGGGUGACCCACCUACGCUGGAUGAACCCCAAGCGAGUUUGACACCUGUCCUAGUGACAUACUUAUACAGGGGUGACCCCCCCACGCUGGGUGACCUCCAAGCUAGUCUGGCACCUGUCCUAAGGGAUAUACAUAUACAGGGGUGACCCCCUAUGCUGGGUGACCCCCAGGCGAGUCUUACUCUGGUGCUAGUGGCAUACAUGCAUAGGGGUACCCCCUUCUGACAGGGUGACCCCCCGCACCCUUUCAAGGGCUUCAACCUACAGAGUACACUCUGUCACUGUAUGCACAGACCAAGGCGCACUAGAUGCACGUAUUUCGGCACCUCUAUGCUACAACUGGGGUGAUCCGUACGCCCUUCCCUGAGCCGGGAAGGAGAGCUCACAGUGCUGCCAAAACUCCACAAUGCAAUGCCAUAUAACAGUGACCCCCUUGGAUUAUACAUAUUGAGGCUACCACACCUCCCAUACACGGGCUACGUCCCGCCAUUGCAGACCACUCAUCCCGGUCUUAUUAAGGGUGACAAUAUUAUAAUAAUCACACCUUUAUAGCUUGGAAAAAACACAAAAAGAGUUUUCAUAAUAGUGUAAAAUAAAUUCUGCACGCACAGGUGUACUUACAUGGCACCUGGAGUGGAAAAGUAUUUUUUUUUUUGUAUCUCACUCUGCAACCACCCCCAAACCCCUUUUUUGGGAAAAUAUAUGCACACACUCUGUGUGGAGACACUGAACACGCCCCAUAAAGAUGCAUGGAGACACUGGACGCUCCCAAAUUUAAACACACUGUUUUGUAAAUUCUGCUUGAAAAUGAAAAAAAAAUUUUAUGUUGGCUGUGUAAGUCUAAGCCACGGGAGGUGUGACUAGGGCUGCAUUAACAAAAGGAUUUUACUCCGAAAUGGCAGAGAAUUAAGCAGUGAGACUACAGGGGCACAAUCUAUGCACUAAAACUGCUUCAUUAAGCUAACGUGGCUUUAAUGCUUAGCAUAGUCCUUUAAUAUGAUUUAAAGACUGAUUUUGUGGUUAAAGGUAACAUUUACUUAGCAUUUAGCUUUAAGAAGAUUUGGGAAUUAUCAACAUACAACAGAAUUGUUUGUUUGAUUUUAAGAUAAUUAUAGCAGCAAAUAUUUUUCAUCCACUCCGUUUCUAAAAGAGAUAGAUCAUGUAUUACCUUCUUGCCUUGUCAGAAAUAUCCUUUGUUGCACAUAUACCACAGGUUGAGAAGUUGUAACAUUUAAAAUUCAUUGUCCACAGCCAUAUGUCACAAAUUACAAUGCUUGCUGGGUGAUUGUUUGACCUAUGCCUCUAUUAUUGCGCCUAAACAAAACCUAAGCUGCUGAUUCUAUUUACAUUAUCUUGUCA
rnacentral:lncRNA from 1 species